rnacentral:rRNA from 1 species
UGCAUGUCUAAGUACAAACUUUAACAAAGUGAAACCGCAAAAGGCUCAUUAUAUCAGUUAUGGUUCCUUAGAUCGUUAACAGUUACUUGGAUAACUGUGGUAAUUCUAGAGCUAAUACAUGCAAUUAUAAACACGAACCUUUUGGUACGUGUGCUUUUAUUAGUCUAAAACCAAUCGAUACCCAUUGGGCAUCGUUUAAAUGGUUGAACUCUAGAUAACUUGUUGAUCGUAUGGUCUUGUACCGACGACAGAUCUUUCAAAUGUCUGCCCUAUCAACUAUUGAUGGUAGUAUCUUGGACUACCAUGGUUGCAACGGGUAACGGGGAAUCAGGGUUCGAUUCCGGAGAGGGAGCCUGAGAAACGGCUACCACAUCUAAGGAAGGCAGCAGGCGCGUAAAUUACCCACUCCCAGUUCGGGGAGGUAGUGACGAAAAAUAACAAUACAGGACUCAUAUCCGAGGCCCUGUAAUUGGAAUGAGUACACUUUAAAUCCUUUAACAAGGACCAAUUGGAG